ensembl:lncRNA
UUGCAUUCUGAUAAGCAGACGUUGACCUUCAGUGCAGAAUAACAUUAGAAGAAUUUAUGAGACAACACUAGGCUGUAUGAAAUCGCACUGAAAAGUGUUUAGUGAGCUAUUAAAGCAUCACAUCAUUACAAGAGACGCUUUAAACAUCUACUGACCUAAAGGUCUCGUGAGAAAUCCUUUCUUCCCGCUCAUAUCCGUGUGUUAGAGUGGAAGCAGGCGUAUGCCGGUCACCGUUCCCCUGAGGUCAGGCUACACAGAUGAAAGACUCUUCCUGGCUGUUCUGAGAACAGUGCAUCCUGGGAAAAGAGAAGAAGACAUGGGAUCUGAGGAACUUCCAGUUCCAUUCCUUCAUUCGGUUUCUUCUGCUUCCUGCUUCCUCUGCUGGUUUGUAGAAAUGUAGCACUGCAUCAGUGUCUCAGCAAUGGAUGCUCUGCAGUGAAUGGGUGCCGUCAGAAUGAGAGUCCAAACAGCUGAUAAAAACAUCACAAUAAUCCACAAGUAAUCCACAGCACUCCAGUCCAUCAGUGAACAUCUGGAGAAGACAAAAGAUGAAACA